CCUACGGGAGGCAGCAGUGGGGAAUAUUGGGCAAUGGGCGCAAGCCUGACCCAGCAACGCCGCGUGAAGGAAGAAGGCUUUCGGGUUGUAAACUUCUUUUAUCAGGGACGAAGCAAGUGACGGUACCUGAGGAAUAAGCCACGGCUAACUACGUGCCAGCAGCCGCGGUAAUACGUAGGUGGCAAGCGUUAUCCGGAUUUACUGGGUGUAAAGGGCGGGUAGGCGGGAGUGCAAGUACGAUGUGAAAACUUUGGGCUCAACCCAUAGACUGCAUUUGAAACUGUACUUUUUGAGUGCUGGAGAGGCAAUCGGAAUUCCGGGUGUAGCGGUGAAAUGCGUAGAUAUACGGAGGAACACCAGUGGCGAAGGCGGAUUGCUGGACAGUAACUGACGCUGAGGCGCGAAAGCGUGGGGAGCAAACAGGAUUAGAUACCCCAGUAGUC
rnacentral:rRNA from 1 species